GUUCGCAGCUAGGGGUGCCCCGGAUGCGCAUAUGUUGCGCCGGGCUGAGAGAUACCCUUCGAACCUGAUCCGGUUAAUACCGGCGUAGGGAAGCGCUACAGGUCGCCG
rnacentral:ncRNA from 2 species